GACGAACGCUGGCGGCGUGCUUAACACAUGCAAGUCGAGCGGUAAGGCCUCUUCGGGGGUACACGAGCGGCGCACGGGUGAGUAACACGUGGGUGACCUGCCCUCAGCUCUGGGAUAAGCCUGGGAGACUGGGUCUAAUACCGGAUAUGACCUUUCCUCGCAUGGGGUUUGGUGGAAAGUUUUUUCGGCUGGGGAUGGGCCCGCGGCCUAUCAGCUUGUUGGUGGGGUGAUGGCCUACCAAGGCGACGACGGGUAGCCGGCCUGAGAGGGCGACCGGCCACACUGGGACUGAGACACGGCCCAGACUCCUACGGGAGACAGCAGUGGGGAAUAUUGCGCAAUGGGCGGAAGCCUGACGCAGCGACGCCGCGUGGGGGAUGACGGCCUUCGGGUUGUAAACCUCUUUCGACCCCGACGAAUUUGGACGGUAGGGGUAGAAGAAGCACCGGCCAACUACGUG
rnacentral:rRNA from 1 species